rnacentral:lncRNA from 1 species
UCUCUUCCAAGACUUAACAAAAACCCUAGGAGCUGAUCUUCUUCUUGAUAAGGGAACCAAAACAAACACAAGACAAACCCUAAGAUACCUCUAAGCAGCCGCCACCGGACCACCCACUGCCAGCCGCCGCUAUCAUUCAUCUCUUCACCUGGCGGCCGUCAGCCUUCACCACGCCUCCAGCCGCCAGCUACCACCCCAACAACCAAUGAGCUUCACACAAACAAAUGACCAUGACUGCUUUCUUCUUCUUCUUCUUCAUGUAAGACAACAAUGGAGAUUACAACACAAAGAACCCUAGAAUCCCCUUGACUAGAGACAGUCACCGACCACCAACUCCACCAGAUCUUCAGCCGCAACUCUAGCCCUUCUAACGAUCAAGAGACCUUUCUUCUCCAUCGAAAGACACCCCAAAAAACCAGCGAAUUGCCCUGCUCUCCAAAUUUCGUUUGUUUUUCUUUCAGGUGCAUUUAACAAAAAUGAAAAAGAAUUUCGCUUCCUCGUUCGCGAUCCAGUUUAGAUUUUAGGGUCAUUGUUCAUGUAACAUCCAAAGCUCCAAUCAUCCGCUGAAGUUUGAAACUACUACCGAUGCCACCAUAUAAGUUGUCUUCGCCGAAAAUCUGUUGCUCUCCUCAUUUUUGGUCGAGUUAAAGAGUUCCUAUCCAUCGAGGUUUUCCGACGAGGUUUUUUCGGUUGAGAUCCUAUUCGCGACCCUAUCCGUUUUGAGUAUCAAGAUUGUCAAAUAAUCCAGGGUAAGAUUCAUUUUAAAGGUCCAUUUCUUACUCUUGUAUUUUUCUUCAAUCCUAGUAUUAAUUCUGAUGAAAUGAAGUCUUGAUGCGCUUGUGUUUCGAGAUUGCCAGUAUGUUAGUUUGGUUGGAGUUUCCCUACUUUCAUAUUGUUUCCUCAUUAGCUUUAGGGAUCAUUAUUGGAUAAUUUCCCUAUUAUUAAUUAAACUUAAUUAAGAGGAAGAAAAGAAAGAUAAUAAACUGAUGGUUUUCAAAUUCGUGGAAUUAGGUCGUGGGAUUGAGAAUUUAAGUUGAAAAGAUAAUUUACUCCUGUUAUAUUCC